rnacentral:misc_RNA from 1 species
AACGCACAUUGCGCUCUCUGGUAUUCCGGAGAGCAUGCUUGUUUGAGUAUCAGUAAAACACCUCAAGUCCGCUCUUCAUUUUUGAAGACGGAUUUGGACUUGAGCGAUCCCAACAGGAGGGGCUUUCCCCUCUGGCGGGUUGCUUGAAAUGCAGGUGCAGCUGGAUUUUCAUCUGGGCUAUAAGCAUAUUUAUUUAGUCCCGUUAAACGGAUUAUUACUUUUUGCUGCAGCCAACGUAAAGGUUGAUUGUCCUCUUGCUGACUGAUGCAGGAAUUUUCGGGGGAUCGGCAACGAUUACCCGUUAAACUCGAUCUCAAAUCAAGUAAGACUACCCGCUGAACUUAA